AAAUCAGAAUGUAUAGAUUUUUUUAAUUUUUAAAAUAUGAAUGCAGUGAAAUGAAAUUUGAUCUAGAUUAAACACAUUAAUCUAUCUAACAUGCAUGAAGUAGAUCUAAUCUACAUGCAACAGGAUUGAUCACAUACUUUUAAGAUGCUGAAAAUAAAAAUCAGAUUUAAAUAAAAUCAUAAAUCUGAAGAUCGAAUCUCCAUACCUUUGCGCAGGUCGAUGAUCUCUACUACUGAUGAUCAUGAUAAUCUGAUGAGAUUUUUGUCAAGCCACACACGCAUCCGGUCUCUACGGAUAUCCACACAAAGUUUUCGAUCCGAUCAGAGACUUCUGACUUCAUCGAGGUGCUAGCUCCCUUGUAGAGUCAUCUCCUGAUGGUUGAUCUGGUUCCUUCUUGGUAUCUUUCACUCUUUUAGAUCUCUGAAAAGGAACAGGAGGAAGAUGAAGGAAAGAUGAAAACCUAAAGAACCUUGUCUCUUUUCUUUUCUCUCUUCUCAAAACUCACUCACCAAGGAGAAGCCCUAGAAAACCUCACACCCUAGAUGAGAAAAGCCCACAAAAGGAGAUGCUCUCCUCUAUUUUUCUCAUGCUCAAAAAGGUGCAAUGCCUCCCUUAUUUUUCCUCACACCCCAGAUAUGGUUUUCAUGGUGAAUAUCAGAUAUCUCAUGGUGAAUUAUUUUUUCUCCUUGUCGUAUAAAAGAAGUUCCUUUUAUGGCUUGGCGUCAAAGAGGUUUGGAUGAGAUCAAAUCUCAUCUUGAUAAGGAAUAAGUUCAAAAUCAAAUUUCAAACUUUCCUUUAUCUUUCUUUUGGCAUUGAGAAAUGGGCUUAUCUGCCUUUGCAUGAGAUAUCUCACACUAACAUAAGAGGGCACAAAAGAAUGAGGGCAUAGCUUCUUAUGGCAUGCGGUUAAUGGGACGCUAAGGAGAAAGAGUCCUAGUCAAUUGGGACUCCUCUUGGUACUUCAAUUAAACUUAACAAAAUUUGAUUCGAUUGUACCCAAAG
rnacentral:lncRNA from 1 species